AGCGAACGCUGGCGGCAGGCUUAACACAUGCAAGUCGAGCGGGCACUUCGGUGUCAGCGGCAGACGGGUGAGUAACACGUGGGAACGUACCCUUUGGUUCGGAAUAACGCUGGGAAACUAGCGCUAAUACCGGAUACGCCCUUUUGGUGAAAGGCUUGCUGCCGAAGGAUCGGCCCGCGUCUGAUUAGCUAGUUGGUGGGGUAAUGGCCUACCAAGGCGACGAUCAGUAGCUGGUCUGAGAGGAUGAUCAGCCACACUGGGACUGAGACACGGCCCAGACUCCUACGGGAGGCAGCAGUGGGGAAUAUUGGACAAUGGGCGCAAGCCUGAUCCAGCCAUGCCGCGUGAGUGAUGAAGGCCUUAGGGUUGUAAAGCUCUUUUGUCCGGGACGAUAAUGACGGUACCGGAAGAAUAAGCCCCGGCUAACUUCGUG
rnacentral:rRNA from 1 species